GUUGGCGUAGCUUAAUCAAAGCAUAACACUGAAGAUGUUAAGAUGGGCCGUGAACAAGCCCCGCAAGCA
rnacentral:tRNA from 1 species